ensembl:snRNA U6 U6 spliceosomal RNA
AUGCUUGUUUUGGUAGCACAUAUAUUAAAAUUGGAAUGAUACAGGAAAGAUUAGCUUGGAUGACACACAAAUUUGCAAAGCAUUGCCUAUUUUU